rnacentral:rRNA from 1 species
AGCAGCCGCGGUAAUUCCAGCUCCAAUAGCGUAUAUUAAAGUUGUUGCAGUUAAAAAGCUCGUAGUUGAAUUUCGGGAUCAAUAUAUCGGUCGUGCCUCCGGUAUGCACUGGUAUUAUUGAUUUCUACCUUCUGACGAACUGUGAUGUCAUUAAUUUGGUGUCAUGGGGAAUCAGGACUGUUACUUUAGAAAAAAUUAGAGUGUUUAAAGCAGGCACACGCUUGAAUACAUUAGCAUGGAAUAAUGAAAUAGGACGUUUGACCCUAUUUUGUUGGUUUCUAGGAUCGACGUAAUGAUUAAUAGGGAUAGUUGGGGGCAUUAGUAUUCAAUUGUCAGAGGUGAAAUUCUUGGAUUUAUUGAAGACUAACUACUGCGAAAGCAUUUGUAAGGAUGUUUUCAUUAAUCAAGAACGAAAGUUAGGGGAUCGAAGACGAUCAGAUACCGUCGUAGUCUUAACCAUAAACUAUGCCGACUAGGGAUCGGAUGAUGUUAAUUUUUUAAUGACUCAUUCGGCCG